UAACACGUAGAUAAACAAGCCAUUUUAGCUUGGGAUACCCAGAGGAAACUUUGGCUAAUACCGGAUAACAACAACCGAGGCAUCUCGGAUGUUUGAAAGGAGCUCUUGGCUUCACUAAAAGAUGGACCUGCGGCGCAUUAGCUAGUUGGUGAGAUAACAGCCCACCAAGGCGAGGAUGCGUAGCCGGAACUGAGAGGUUGAUCGGCCACAUUGGAACUGAGACACGGUCCAAACUCCUACGGGAGGCAGCAGUAAGGAGUUUUCGGCAAUGGGGGAAACCCUGACCGAGCAACGCCGCGUGAGUGAUGACGGCCCUAUGGGUUGUAAAGCUCUGUUGUAAAGGACGAAUGACGGGGUUAGGAAAUGAGCUCCGUUUGACGGUACUUUACCAGAAAGCCACGGCUAACUACGUGCCAGCAGCCGCGGUAAUACGUAGGUGGCAAGCGUUAUCCGGAAUUAUUGGGCGUAAAGAGUGAGCAGGCGGCAGUUUAAGUCUGAGGUGAAAGCGUGGGGCUCAACCCCAUAUAGCCUUGGAAACUGAACAGCUAGAGUACGAGAGAGGUAAACGGAACUCCAUGUGUAGCGGUGAAAUGCGUAGAUAUAUGGAAGAACACCAGUGGCGAAGGCGGUUUACUAGCUCGAUACUGACGCUCAGUCACGAAAGCGUGGGUAGCAAAUAGGAUUAGAUACCCUAGUAGUCCACGCUGUAAACGAUGAGAACUAAAUAUUGCCGUGAGGCAGUGUUGAAGCUAACGCAUUAAGUUCUCCGCCUGGGGAGUACGCUCGCAAGAGUGAAACUUAAAGGAAUUGACGGGGACCCGCACAAGCAGUGGAGCAUGUGGUUUAAUUCGACGCUACGCGAAGAACCUUACCAGGGCUUGACAUGGAGGUAAAGGCUCUAGAGAUAGAGAGAUAGUC
rnacentral:rRNA from 1 species